AAAAUGGAGAUGAGACUAUCCACAACAGUGAUAAUAAUAACUGCAGUGAAGACAAGGCAGAAAACCAAGAUGAAGAAGAGGAAUAAGAGGAAAGGGAG